GGACCUCACUGCUAUCGGGGUGGGACUAAAACAUGCAAGUCGAGCGCCUCCAAGCUAUGGUGAAGGCGCGGCAAACGGCUCAGUAACACGUGGCCAACCUACCCUUGGGACGGAGACAACCCCGGGAAACUGGGGCUAAUCCCCGAUAGGUAAGGAACCCUGGAAUGGACCCUUGCCCAAAAGACGUUGAGUCCAUGCUAUUCAGCGUCGCUCAAGGAUGGAGCCGCGGCCGAUCAGGUUGUUGGUGAGGCAACGGCUCACCAAGCCUAUAACCGGUACGGGCCGUGAGAGCGGGAGCCCGGAGAUGGGCACUGAGACAAGGGCCCAGGCCCUACGGGGCGCAGCAGUUGCGAAAACUCCGCAAUGCGCGAAAGCGUGACGGGGCUACCCCGAGUGCCGUCCGUUGAGGACGGCUUUUCCAUGGUGUAAGGAGCCGUGGGAAUAAGGAGAGGGCAAGCCUGGUGUCAGCCGCCGCGGUAAUACCAGCUCUCCGAGUGGUGAGGACGAUUAUUGGGCUUAAAGCGUUCGUAGCCGGCUUAACAAGUCUUCCGUUAAAUCCAACGAUCUAAUCGUUGGUCUGCGGGAGAUACUGUUGGGCUAGGAGGCGGGAGAAGCCGACGGUAUUCUCGGGGUAGGGGUGAAAUCCUGUAAUCCCGGGAGGACCACCAGUGGCGAAGGCGGUCGGCUAGAACGCGCUCGACGGUGAGGGACGAAAGCUGGGGGAGCGAACCGGAUUAGAAACCCGGAUAGUCCCAGCUGUAAACGAUGCGGGCUAGGUGUUGGGGUGGCCACGAGCCACUUCAGUGCCGCAUGGAAGCAAUUAAGCCCGCCGCCUGGGGAGUACGGCCGCAAGGCUGAAACUUAA
rnacentral:rRNA from 1 species